AUUGCAGGCUGCAACUCGCCUGCAUGAAGUCGGAAUUGCUAGUAAUCGUAGGUCAGCAUACUACGGUGAAUACGUUCCCGGGCCUUGUACACACCGCCCGUCAAACCAUGAGAGUUGCAACACCCGAAGUCGGUAGUCUAACCGCAAGGGGGGCGCGGCCGAAGGUGGGUUCGAUAAUUGGGGUGAAGUCGUAACAAGGUAUC
rnacentral:rRNA from 1 species